rnacentral:SRP_RNA from 1 species
CGUCAUAAAAUACCCUCCGCAGGCAUUCGUGUUGAGGUUCCGGUCUCGCGCAAUGGANGCCUGUGAACCAUGUCAGGCGGGGAACCGAGCAGCAUUAAGCGGGACGAAAUGUGCCGCGAGGGCUCCGGUUCGGAGCGGAUGCUUGCGGAGAGUGUUUUAUGGCG